rnacentral:tRNA from 1 species
GAGGGCAUAGCUCAGUGGUAGAGCUCAUGCUUAGUACACAUGAGGUCCUGGGUUCAAUCCCCAGCACCUCCU